CCUUGCAAGCCCGAUUUUGUAAGUGCAAGAGCUGGGGGCGGAGGAAAGUCGCACAAGGUGCAGGUCUCAUCAGGUAAGCCGAACUAUUCUCAGAGCUGAAGAGAAAGUAGAAGUUUUGAAGCUGCAGAAUAACAAUUCUUUUCAUAAUGGAAGAUAUGAACAGGCUGACAUCUGAAGACCUGUCAGAAUCUUCUGACAAGAAAGUAGGGUCACAGAAAACAGUGAAGCAAACCUCAGGUGUGCCCUUUGCUCUGCUCACAAGGAGCUCCAGCCUGGAGAAGUUAAUAGACCUGAGCCAAGACCAGCCUUCAGAGACUACUUCUUCAUUACUUGGCAGGUAAGA